GUACCUGGGAUAUAAAAAAGUGCC
rnacentral:piRNA from 1 species